ensembl:lncRNA
AUGUCCCGACUGGAUCAUUACUAUAGCCAGCUAUUGAGGGUAUUCAAAAAGAAGGGGGGAACAGCAAGACGUGAUAUCGACGUAAUCAUUGCAGAAAUGGACAUGAAUCCCAGUGUUGAAGUACGACAGACAUGCAUCCUAAAGGCGUUGUGCGUCUACUUAAAUGAAAAGCCUGACAGCCUUAUUAAGGAGUACUGGGCUACUGAGGAUAUUGGUAUUGAUGCAAUGACAGAAAUGGAGAGACUGGCUUUGGGUGUCUACAUUGUUCGAUGGAUGGGAACAAGCUCUCCACUAAAGUGCAGGUCCUCAAAAACAAACUGCAUGAGUAAAAUCACCUGCACCAGACAAGACUGGACCUGGCUUUGGACACUUUAAUUGUGUUGACUGUUACUUUAUUUUUGGACUGCUGCUAGACAAAAUAAAGCUGUGAUCAAUGAUGGUUUGUAAUAAGCA